GGAUCCAAUAUUAAAUGUUCUAUAAUUCCAGAAGAGAGUUGCAGUACUAAGAUAACAGAUUCAAACACGACUAAAUAUGAUCCAACAGCAACAUGAACUAACUGGAAUUAAUGGAAGGCAACAAAUUUACAUAAAAGUUUUAUUUUAAAAAGACAGAAAUAUUAUAAAACAAAACAAGAGAAAUAAAGGCAGAUAAACAGAGGAGGAGAUAUCUUCAGAAGUCAUUUCUCCACCUCCACGAUUACAUGAUUAUUUCAUCAUUUCGUUUGCGGAAAAUGCCAGGUCCAAAUGUGGAUGAGACUAUUUCAACUAAAAGAGGGAACUGCAAAAUUGCAAACAAGGUGACUGGCACGCAAGCUAGUAAGCUAAUUGGAACCCAAAUCCAAUUAACACGAUGAGAUAGAACUAUUUGAAGGGAUGAGCCAAAAGCAACGAGCAUGGACACAAUGGAAAAGAAUAAUGAGAUAAGACCGAUGCUCAUCCUCAUUGGUAAGGCUUUGAGAAAAUCAUAUUCUGAGUAGCGUGAUGUAAGUAUGCCCAGAAACAUCAAUAAUGAGGUGGAUGAAGAGAAGAGAGCAAAUGCAUUUGAUAUUGCAAAAAUGAGGAAAGCUGCUUCAUUUAAAUAAAUUGGGAUCCCUUGAUCGCUAGUAUUGCCUCCUGGCACAGUGAAAGCUGCAGCAAAUGCAACUGUGACAACGAGUGCUGCCACAACUGUGCACGAUGAAGCUGUGUCCUUCAUCCAUUUCUCACCUUGUUCGCGUAAGUCCUUGUGCUCUUCAGUAAACACCAUUCUUGGAGUUUUACCUUCUCUAUUUCUCAUUUCUUUGUAUGAGGGUUGGACAACCUUUUCAACUUCCUGGAACCAUUGCAACUCUCGUUGCAUUUGCAGCGCAGCACCGGAAACCUUAUCUGAUGGCUGCAAUUCCCCUGCCAAAUGCAGCAAGUUAUUGCCAAAUCUGUCUAGUGAUGCGGUUAUAAAAUGCUUCCGAGAACUCAUUUGAUGGCAAAGGAGACUGAAAAUGUUUUCAUGGCGAUAUUUUACUGCCAAAUGAAAAUAACUCAUUCCAUUUUCAUCGAAUACCCAAAGUGAUUGAGGGUAGGCUUUAAUAACCUCUGCAACAAACUCAUGAAUCCCCAAUCGAGCAGCAAGCCGCACUGGAGGUAAUAAUAGCUUCCUAACUUUUGAUGCGUUAUCCCCUUUUAAAGUUUCAAAAAUCAAGAGUCCAAGUAGCCUAAGCGCUUGUUUAUGCUUGGACAUUUUUUUCACUAUGGUUGGACUUGUAAGGCCUUUUUCUGAACUACCAAUUGCAUUUUCCACAUCACCACCUUGAGGGUAACUGCUUGGACACUCAGUACCUGAAAAAAAAUGAUUGAACAAGCUCCUGAAAUAUCCUUUCUGAAUUCGACUUUGGAAUGCGCCUGGCUUUAGAGCCAAUGUCAGGAAGGCAGUUUUUCCAUCAGUGUCCUUUCCAAGUGCUAAGGAAGGAUAUUGCUUUAGCAGAUCAACAGCAAUAUCGUACAAAUCAGCAGUAAUCAAAAGAUUGAGAAGUUUGACACCAACUUUGCCAGCGAAUGGACUUGGAUCCUCAUCAUGAGUUACUGAUCGAAGAUAGCACACUGCUUUCCUUUGGCCAUUCUCAGCAGCUGAAUGAAGUGGCGUCAGACCAUAUGUGUUUGUUUUCUGCGGCAAUUUUGAGUCUUUUUUCACCAAUAUCCUCGCAGCCUCUGUGUUGCCAGCAAAAGCAGCAUAGUGAAGUGGUGUGUCCCCCUCUUCAUCUGGUUGUCCCAAUAAAUCUUUGUCCAUUAAAUUCACAAGCUUCUGUACAAAUUGUAUGGACCGACCUGUGCUCACUGCAAUGUGGAGAGCGGUUUCCCCCGCUCUGGUAACCUUGGCAAUCGGUGCAUUCUUAUCAUCAUCAAUUAUUUGCUUUGCUUCUUCCCAUUUACCCAUUAAGGCAGCUUUGUGUAGUGGCAAGUAGUAAAUUUCAUCUCGACCCUUGGCUUUCUUAAUCCCUGUCAGUGUCAGCUUCUUGAAUACUUGCAUUCAGAGAAAAAACAGAAUAUGUGUGUAUAACUAUGAAUUCUCACCCUUUGUACAUUUAAUUUUGAAUUAAAUAAUCAAAUUUCAGUUCUUAUCUUUGAAAUUUUCUAUCCUAAUGCAACUUAAAAUGAAUGAAAUUUAGUAGCUUAACCUUCUCAUUCUCCUAGGAUUUCUCAAUGGAAUCACUUUCAGCAGGGGUUCCUGCUGCUAUAUAUGCAGCUUUAGUUCUCUCUCUUCGCUGGACAAAUUAGCAGUAUUGGUAGUUAUUCCAACAGUGGGGGAAUUGAUGGAAUCCAUUGAUGCCAAGUUUUCAAGAAAAAUCACUCUACAUUUUUUUUUUAGCUUAGGGCUUAUAUUUUAACUAAGUUAUUGAAAAGCUGUACGAGUGUGUCGUGAGAAGAAAAAUACAAAAAAAUGGUUGAAAAUCUAAAAAUUACAGGGAUAGAAUGAGUUGAAAAUAUAGACGCGAGUCAAAAUAGCAUCUUUAGUUGGGACGCUAUCAACAAUAGCUUGCGGAGGUAAACCAGUCGAGACGUUAUUCUUAACAGUGUCCCAAUAAAGAGGCGACCAUCCGCGUCCCAACUAAAUAUGCUAUUUUGACUCGAGUCUGUAUUUUCA
rnacentral:misc_RNA from 1 species